UUAAGCGACUAAGCGUACACGGUGGAUGCCCUGGCAGUCAGAGGCGAUGAAGGACGUGCUAAUCUGCGAUAAGCGUCGGUAAGGUGAUAUGAACCGUUAUAACCGGCGAUUUCCGAAUGGGGAAACCCAGUGUGUUUCGACACACUAUCAUUAACUGAAUCCAUAGGUUAAUGAGGCGAACCGGGGGAACUGAAACAUCUAAGUACCCCGAGGAAAAGAAAUCAACCGAGAUUCCCCCAGUAGCGGCGAGCGAACGGGGAGGAGCCCAGAGCCUGAAUCAGUGUGUGUGUUAGUGGAAGCGUCUGGAAAGGCGCGCGAUACAGGGUGACAGCCCCGUACACAAAAAUGCACAUGCUGUGAGCUCGAUGAGUAGGGCGGGACACGUGGUAUCCUGUCUGAAUAUGGGGGGACCAUCCUCCAAGGCUAAAUACUCCUGACUGACCGAUAGUGAACCAGUACCGUGAGGGAAAGGCGAAAAGAACCCCGGCGAGGGGAGUGAAAAAGAACCUGAAACCGUGUACGUACAAGCAGUGGGAGCACGCUUAGGCGUGUGACUGCGUACCUUUUGUAUAAUGGGUCAGCGACUUAUAUUCUGUAGCAAGGUUAACCGAAUAGGGGAGCCGAAGGGAAACCGAGUCUUAACUGGGCGUUAAGUUGCAGGGUAUAGACCCGAAACCCGGUGAUCUAGCCAUGGGCAGGUUGAAGGUUGGGUAACACUAACUGGAGGACCGAACCGACUAAUGUUGAAAAAUUAGCGGAUGACUUGUGGCUGGGGGUGAAAGGCCAAUCAAACCGGGAGAUAGCUGGUUCUCCCCGAAAGCUAUUUAGGUAGCGCCUCGUGAAUUCAUCUCCGGGGGUAGAGCACUGUUUCGGCAAGGGGGUCAUCCCGACUUACCAACCCGAUGCAAACUGCGAAUACCGGAGAAUGUUAUCACGGGAGACACACGGCGGGUGCUAACGUCCGUCGUGAAGAGGGAAACAACCCAGACCGCCAGCUAAGGUCCCAAAGUCAUGGUUAAGUGGGAAACGAUGUGGGAAGGCCCAGACAGCCAGGAUGUUGGCUUAGAAGCAGCCAUCAUUAAAGAAAGCGUAAUAGCUCACUGGUCGAGUCGGCCUGCGCGGAAGAUGUAACGGGGCUAAACCAUGCACCGAAGCUGCGGCAGCGACGCUUAUGCGUUGUUGGGUAGGGGAGCGUUCUGUAAGCCUGUGAAGGUGUGCUGUGAGGCAUGCUGGAGGUAUCAGAAGUGCGAAUGCUGACAUAAGUAACGAUAAAGCGGGUGAAAAGCCCGCUCGCCGGAAGACCAAGGGUUCCUGUCCAACGUUAAUCGGGGCAGGGUGAGUCGACCCCUAAGGCGAGGCCGAAAGGCGUAGUCGAUGGGAAACAGGUUAAUAUUCCUGUACUUGGUGUUACUGCGAAGGGGGGACGGAGAAGGCUAUGUUGGCCGGGCGACGGUUGUCCCGGUUUAAGCGUGUAGGCUGGUUUUCCAGGCAAAUCCGGAAAAUCAAGGCUGAGGCGUGAUGACGAGGCACUACGGUGCUGAAGCAACAAAUGCCCUGCUUCCAGGAAAAGCCUCUAAGCAUCAGGUAACAUCAAAUCGUACCCCAAACCGACACAGGUGGUCAGGUAGAGAAUACCAAGGCGCUUGAGAGAACUCGGGUGAAGGAACUAGGCAAAAUGGUGCCGUAACUUCGGGAGAAGGCACGCUGAUAUGUAGGUGAAGUCCCUCGCGGAUGGAGCUGAAAUCAGUCGAAGAUACCAGCUGGCUGCAACUGUUUAUUAAAAACACAGCACUGUGCAAACACGAAAGUGGACGUAUACGGUGUGACGCCUGCCCGGUGCCGGAAGGUUAAUUGAUGGGGUCAGCGCAAGCGAAGCUCUUGAUCGAAGCCCCGGUAAACGGCGGCCGUAACUAUAACGGUCCUAAGGUAGCGAAAUUCCUUGUCGGGUAAGUUCCGACCUGCACGAAUGGCGUAAUGAUGGCCAGGCUGUCUCCACCCGAGACUCAGUGAAAUUGAACUCGCUGUGAAGAUGCAGUGUACCCGCGGCAAGACGGAAAGACCCCGUGAACCUUUACUAUAGCUUGACACUGAACAUUGAGCCUUGAUGUGUAGGAUAGGUGGGAGGCUUUGAAGUGUGGACGCCAGUCUGCAUGGAGCCGACCUUGAAAUACCACCCUUUAAUGUUUGAUGUUCUAACGUUGACCCGUAAUCCGGGUUGCGGACAGUGUCUGGUGGGUAGUUUGACUGGGGCGGUCUCCUCCUAAAGAGUAACGGAGGAGCACGAAGGUUGGCUAAUCCUGGUCGGACAUCAGGAGGUUAGUGCAAUGGCAUAAGCCAGCUUGACUGCGAGCGUGACGGCGCGAGCAGGUGCGAAAGCAGGUCAUAGUGAUCCGGUGGUUCUGAAUGGAAGGGCCAUCGCUCAACGGAUAAAAGGUACUCCGGGGAUAACAGGCUGAUACCGCCCAAGAGUUCAUAUCGACGGCGGUGUUUGGCACCUCGAUGUCGGCUCAUCACAUCCUGGGGCUGAAGUAGGUCCCAAGGGUAUGGCUGUUCGCCAUUUAAAGUGGUACGCGAGCUGGGUUUAGAACGUCGUGAGACAGUUCGGUCCCUAUCUGCCGUGGGCGCUGGAGAACUGAGGGGGGCUGCUCCUAGUACGAGAGGACCGGAGUGGACGCAUCACUGGUGUUCGGGUUGUCAUGCCAAUGGCACUGCCCGGUAGCUAAAUGCGGAAGAGAUAAGUGCUGAAAGCAUCUAAGCACGAAACUUGCCCCGAGAUGAGUUCUCCCUGACUCCUUGAGAGUCCUGAAGGAACGUUGAAGACGACGACGUUGAUAGGCCGGGUGUGUAAGCGCAGCGAUGCGUUGAGCUAACCGGUACUAAUGAACCGUGAGGCUUAACCUU
rnacentral:rRNA from 1 species